UAGUUAAUUAAAACAGUCGCUUUUAUUAAUUAAUAAAAGAGGAAAGUCCGGACUCCGCAGGGUAUUGGUGCCAGAUAAUUACUGGGAAGUUAAAACUUACGAAUAGUGCAACAGAAAAAAUACCGCCAUAUUUAAAAAUAUGGUAAGGGUGAAAAGGUAUGGUAAAAGCAUACCGAUAUAUUAGUAAUAAUAUAUGUCAAUGUAAACUCCACCAGGAGCAAGGCUAAAUAAGAUUCGUAUUUACCCGUACUAUGAAUCUGGGUAAGCUGCUUGAAAUAAUAAGCGAUUAUUAUUCUAGAUAAAUGACUGUUCUAGACAGAAUCCGGCUUAAUAAUUAACUUUAUU
rnacentral:RNase_P_RNA from 1 species